rnacentral:rRNA from 1 species
UACGGAGGGGGCUAGCGUUGUUCGGAAUACUGGGCGUAAAGCGCACGUAGGCGGCGAUUUAAGUCAGAGGUGAAAGCCCGGGGCUCAACCCCGGAACAGCCUUUGAGACUGGAUUGCUUGAACAUCGGAGAGGUGAGUGGAAUUCCGAGUGUAGAGGUGAAAUUCGUAGAUAUUCGGAAGAACACCAGUGGCGAAGGCGGCUCACUGGACGAUUGUUGACGCUGAGGUGCGAAAGCGUGGGGAGCAAACAGG